rnacentral:tRNA from 1 species
UGCCGCUAUGGUGUAAGUGGUUAACACGCAGGCCUCUCAAGCCUGAGAGUGCGGGUUCAAGCCCCGCUAGCGGCA